UUUUUCAAUUGCAAUGGCUGUGUUUACAAGUACGUUGUAUCCUUUCAUGCAUAAAUACCUUUCUAUUUAAUUUCAUCUUAUUUAUCGGUUUGUUAUGUUGCAACAACUGUUUUUUGAUCAAUCAGUGCACCUAUAUCGAAUGCUUAUCGUCAAGUAUUCUCCAAAAUGACAGUAUACUGAAUUCUUAGGAUUAGCUUUGUAAAUUUUUUUUAGCAACGUAAAAGAAGAUGAUUACAUACUCAGGAUAUAAAUUCCUAAACAAUAUGUUUAAAUUCACUUUUUAAAUCAUUUAAAAGUGGUAGCUGCAGAAAGCUUCUCACUUUGUGGUGGCUGAGGUUCUGAUAUUUAAUUGAUUGUUGUGAUUUUAGGUUCUUCUGUCAGUUCAUUCUAUUUUUUGUAGUGCACCUUGCCUUUAUAUCCAUGUUACGGUUUUUGGCAUCAGUCUGCCAAACUCUGGCUGCUGCUAUGAGAGCUGGUGUUUUUGCUUUAUAGUAGUCCUAAUUUUUGGUGGUUUUGUUAUCACACAUGGUUAGACUAUUUGGACCUUAUCCAAUUUGAUUUCAAAAUCAUCUUUGAAAAGGAUAAACUUGUGCUAUGUCAUUGGUUGCAGCCUCUAUUCUAGGGUGGUUGAAGUGGGGUUUUCGGGUUUCCCCUUUUUCAUAUGGAAAGAUAGGCCUUUCAGUAAAUGAAUUUUUUGCUCCUCAGUGGCAAAAGGCAGGAUCAAGCAAAGGCUGUUGAGAUUCUUGUCAAGGACCUUAAGGUUUUUGCAUCUUCCAAUGAAGAUCUUUUCAAGGAGAUUACUCAGCUCCUCACUCUUGAUAACUUUAGCAAAAUGAGCAUCUUUCCAAGUAUGGAGACACAAAAUCGGCUCGUAAUAUUAUGCUUGUAGAACUCAAAAAUCUAAUUGAAGCAAAUCCCCUGUUUCGUGACAAGCUUAUACAUUCCCAGCCUUCAAAAGUUGACGUCUGAGGACAUUAAUAAACCAGAGGAGUGAGUCGAAUGGAGGAUUCUCAGAUGUAAACGAAGUAUCGUCAGAAGGAGGAGAAGAGGACUGGAACCUGAUGACGAGUAUGGAAGACAAGGAAGAAAGCAGCAAUAGAUGUCCUCUGAGGAAGAAGCUCUGUCUCUCCAAAGAAUACUCUCGUCUUCUCAAAGAAAGUUUCAGGCAAAACCAUACCCUGUUAUAACUUCACCCUUUCUCUUUUUUUUCUUUCUUUCUUUAACUCAUAAAACACCCUCUCCUUACAAUAAAUAUUCUGCUUUUAAUGUCUUGAUUGCCUAAUUUACUCGGUUCUGCUUCUGUUUUCUUCAGCUAUUUUACUUCUCUAUAGUAUUUGUGUGUUAUCUUAGUUUAAUUUCCUAAUAUACUCAAUUUUGUCUCUGUUUUCUUCACGGGUAAUAGGGGAAAAGUUUCCUUCAAUGGUCACCAGAUGGAUGAGUUUGUUCCCCAGAAAACGUCAGCUUAUAUAAGCCAAGAAGAUCUGCAUAUUGCUGUGAUGACUGAGGGAAACACUUGAAUUUCCUGCCCAAUGUCUUGGUGUUGGAAACCGCAGAAAUAUGAUGAUGGAAGUCAGUAAAAGAGAGGAGACAGGCACUGUUCUAGAUCCAGAUGUAGAUACUUACACAAAGGGUGGUUGAAGUGGGGUUUUCGGGCUUCCCCUCUUUCAUAUGGAGAGAUAGCCCUUUCAGUGAAUGAAUUUCUCGCUCCUCAGUGGCAAAAGCCAGAUGCUAGUUUUACCAAUGGUAGUGUUUGUGCUGCCGGGAAACACUACCAUUGGGUACUUGAAAGCCAUGGAUUAUUAAACUUUGAUGAAUCUUAUUUCUGGCUAGCAUUGGGUGCCUUGUUUGGCUUGACUUUACUUUUCAACAUUGGCUUUAUCUUGACCUUAAGUUUGUUGAAGCCCCCCUGAUCAUCUUGUGUGAUGAUUUUGCAAGAAAAGUUGGGCAGGAUUCAAGGAGGUCAGGAUUCCGUUGAUGGUAAACUUGUGAAAGAAAAGUCUAGAAAUACUCCCACAAAGCGGCAGGAUGGUCUUACCUUUUGAACCCCUAUCAGUAGCAUUUCAGUGUAUGAAGUAUUUGUUGACAUCCCUGCGGGGAAGAAGAAAUUCCCAACUGCUUUCUGAUAUUCCGUUGGAUUAAGGCUUGAUGUGGUUACAGCAUUUAUGGAAGCUGGAAAAUCCACUCUUCUAUGUUUUGGCCAUACGAUGUUGUAUUGAUAACAAACUUGUUCUUCUUGCUUUAAUCUCUCAUGAAUCAAUCAGUAAGGGUUUGUUAGUACUGAAAGCUCUGUGCUCUUUCUCCCGGAAAACUGAACUGAGGUCUCCAAUCAUGCACGUGUACAAAAGGAAAAGCAAAGGAAUUAAACAAAGGAAGAUCUCAGGCACAUUAUCAGGAGAAAACAACAAACAAUGAGGAAGCAAUUCAGAAGACAACAAAGAGGCAAAAUCAGGGCAGAUAAUGGCAGUUGAAAUCAAGGCAUAAAUAAAAUAAACUGAAAUCAGGGCCGGACAACCAGACCAAGAUUGACAGAAUAAAGCCAAAACAGACUAUAAAAAGAGAAGAUCAGAUGGAGAAGAGGCAAGCAAGAAUUCAAUAAUUCUUUAAGGGGGUUUUACAGCCAAAAAAGAGAGGGGGCUGGCACCUCUACUGCAAGUAUAUUUCUAGUUCUUAUUACUAUUUUCUGAAAGAGAAUAAACACUUGUAGUCUGAAGUUUCAUCAAAAAAGAAUUCUGUGCAUGUGUAUUUACACA